UGGGGAAUCUUGCGCAAUGGACGAAAGUCUGACGCAGCAACGCCGCGUGGGUGACGAAGGCCUUUGGGUCGUAAAGCCCUGUCAGAAGGGAAGAAGUCGUCUGUAGUUAAUACCUGCAGGCGUUGACGGUACCUUCAGAGGAAGCACCGGCUAACUCCGUGCCAGCAGCCGCGGUAAGACGGAGGGUGCAAGCGUUGUUCGGAAUCACUGGGCGUAAAGCGAGUGUAGGCGGCUUGGUAAGUCGGGUGUGAAAUCCCAGGGCUCAACCCUGGAACUGCGCCCGAUACUGCCAUGGCUUGAGUACGAGAGAGGGUUGCGGAAUUGUCGGUGUAGAGGUGAAAUUCGUAGAU
rnacentral:rRNA from 1 species